rnacentral:rRNA from 1 species
UACGUAGGGGGCGAGCGUUGUUCGGAAUUACUGGGCGUAAAGCGUGCGCAGGCGGCUUUGCAAGACAGAUGUGAAAUCCCCGGGCUCAACCUGGGAACUGCAUUUGUGACUGCAGGGCUAGAGUACGGCAGAGGGGGAUGGAAUUCCGCGUGUAGCAGUGAAAUGCGUAGAUAUGCGGAGGAACACCAAUGGCGAAGGCAAUCCCCUGGGCCUGUACUGACGCUCAUGCACGAAAGCGUGGGGAGCAAACAGG